rnacentral:rRNA from 1 species
GAUGAACGCUGGCGGCGUGCAUAACACAUUCAAGUCGAACGGGGUAUACGAGGAGCUUGCUUUUUGUAUACUUAGUGGCGGACGGGUGAGUAACGCGUGAGCAACCUGCCUGAUAGAGGGGAAUAACGUCUGGAAACGGACGCUAAUACCGCAUAAAGCAUGAGGGGCGCAUGUUUUUCAUGCCAAAGAUUUUAUCGCUGAAAGAUGAGCUCGCGUCUGAUUAGCUAGUUGGCGGGGUAACGGCCCACCAAGGCGACGAUCAGUAGCCGGACUGAGAGGUUGAACGGCCACAUUGGGACUGAGACACGGCCCAG